AAAAUACUCCCUCCGUCCGGAAAUACUUGUCGGGGAAAUGGAUGUAUCUAGACGUAUUUUUAGUUCUAUAUACAUCUAUUUUUCUCCAUUUCUCCGACAAGUAAUUCCGUACGGAGGGUAUGAU
rfam:Hordeum vulgare subsp. vulgare, WGS project CAJW01000000 data, contig: morex_contig_273528